AACAAAAUAUACACAAUUGAUUUAGGAAGGCAGCAGUGCAGGACAGAAUGAGAUCGAGAGGCAAAAUAGAUGACAUAGAUAAAUUCCUAUGUGAUGUCACAGUGCGAGGCUCAUUGUUGGUUGGCAUCCCUGGGAAAGGCACAGGAGCUGAGCUGGGCCUGUGAAUGAAUAGAAUCUGGACAGGGAUGAGGCAAGGAGACAGGAGUGAUCUCUCCACCCUGGGCCCAGGGUGCCUCCAGAAAGAACGCAGCCCUACUGACACCUUGGUUUUGGCCUGGUGAGACCAACUUUGGACUUUUCACUUCCAAAACUGUUUAAAGAAAAAAGUCUACAGUUCCAGUUAGUCUACUUUUGUAACAGGACCUGACAACUCCACUCUACUUCCAAUCCUGAAAGACUACAGGAAAAACUAGCCCAAGUGACUGAGCUGGGGGGUCCCAGUCAUCGGUAGCAUGGGUAUUUUGCUUUGGAAUAUUAUCAAAUAGCAGGGGGACCAGCACAGUGGACUUAGUGUCAAGUCUAGGAUUUGAUUCUUAGCUAACAAAACAAGUUUCCUCUCUGAGUUGUGACGAUUAAAUGCAAUAAAAUGGAAAAGUGCCCAGCAGUGAUGGGCUUUCAGGAGAAACGAAGAGUGCUCUGGACAGUGGGUGGAGAAGAUUCAAGUACAUCUUCCUUGCUGACAAUAUGCUCUCCUAUCUUUUGUAAGAGUACACAAUUUAAAUUUCUAAAAAUUCAUUACAAUACAAAGCAAAACAAUCCCUCGUAGAUUUAUAAUCAAACUAAUAUGCCACUUAGAAAAGAUUUGAAAUAAAUGCAAAUACCUAGGUACAAUAAUGAUUUUCAGAAAUGCCUUAGUUCUGGAGUUGAAGCGGCUGUGGUGGAUGGGAUUCUGGAUGGCGACGUAGCGGUCCAGCGAGAUGGCGCAGAGGUGCAUGAUGGAGGCCGUGGAUGAAGUUCUGAGGCCAAGAAAGGGUAGCUGAUUUCUCCACUGGUGGGAGUACCACUCAAAACUCAAACUCUCUGUCAAAGAAGAAGAAAUCUUCAGCAUUCUGCGGUCC
rnacentral:lncRNA from 1 species